AGAGAGAGAGAGAGAGAGAGUUGUAUCCAACUCAUUAUACUGGCUAGUUGCUAUGUCAGCCUUGGCAAUGACCUAGAAAGGAAUCGGUAAUUUGCUUCAAUUGCUAUACUAAUCAUCUAUAAAAUUGAUUAAUGUUUAUAAUAUUUCUUUAGUCAUUAGCCCUUGAUUUUCUUUAUUUAAAUUAAAUUUCCUAUUUCAAAGCCACUAUGGCACUGCUGUUGCUUGAUAAUGUGUUGAUGUUUCUGCAGCUAUGCUCUUUUUGAUAUGGAU
rnacentral:misc_RNA from 1 species